rnacentral:lncRNA from 1 species
AUGCUCAGACCUGUGCACGGUGCAACUGGAAAGGGUGAAGCUCUUGAGACCAAGGGUUUAGCAAGGCGAAGCUGUGACUAUAAAGACAUAAAUAAUAUGUAUAAAACCCCAUUUUUCUUUUCUUUUUUUCUUUUUUUUUUUUUUUCAGAGUAUAUAUUCAAAGCACGCCCUCGUGACUGCAUCAGUAGACAAGAGGAGGUCCCCGCAGAAGAUCAAGGCACCCGGUACAGCUUCCUCCUAUCCCAGCCCACCUCCAGCUCGGCCCGACGGGGAAUUAAUUGCAACACUGGACAAAUUGGCGCAGCCGGGCUCUGGCACGAGGUUAUUCCGCCCUGCGGCUCUCCCUCUGCGUCAGCUAAUUGCCAGGGACUUGCAGCACAGCCUGCGUGUAGGAGGAGGGCUCUGUGCAGCCUUUGUGUGCACAGCCGAGGUGGGCGAUGCCACCCCAAGGACACCGCCACCACAAGGUGGAAAGGGGGCGAGGGGGCAUGGGGACGGGCGCCGCUGGGUGGCCCUGCCACCCCGAGCCCUUGCCGCAGGGUUUUUUUCCUGAUGGACUUUGCUCCCCUGAAUAGCAUGAGAAGGAAGUUUCCAGGGCAACUGGAAACGGGAAAAUGAAGGAGAAAUAAGUCACUGUGAGUGUUUUCAUCCGGGGUGGGUGGCAGUGGUGACAUCCUGGCUUGUUUACCAAGCCAGCCUUUAGGAUGAGGCUUCCCGUUCACCACACGAUCAUUUAAGGUUUACAUUUCCCUUCUGACUGCUGUAAUUUAAUUUUGCCUGCGCAGCCUCCUGCCUUUUCUUAAUCUAUAAAAUCCAGGAGAAAGAAAGGAAAAAAAAAAAAAAAAAGAAAGAAACCAGAUGCCUCCAGCUAAGCUGGUGAUAAAGAUGCUGUCCAGCAGCUGGGGCAGGGAUGCUGUGGGGUUUCCCAGCAGGGUUGCCCAAAGAUUUCUGCAGCUUUAGGUGCCUGGCGUGGUUCUUGCUGCCUGCCUUUCACUGAAUCCCAGAAGAUCUGGGGUGGUAAAGGGACCUCUGGGCCACCUGCAGCAGGUUGCAGCCAGGUUGGAUUUGAAAAUCUCCAAGGAGGAGACUCCACGUCUUCUCUGGGCAACCCAUGGCAGGGCUCAGGAGGUGCCUAAAAACAUUCUUUGAGUAUCUUGGCACCAAAGCCACUUCGGCAAUCGUCCUCUCUGCGCUUUGUGGAUUUGCUUUUGCCACAUAAUGAACCCCUAAGAAGCAUCUAACUCCAAAUCAGGAGCCAGUCCUUCCUGUGGGGUGACUUACUGCAGGGGGCAGCGCCCCAGCCAGAAGGGCACAUGCUGUUCUCCCCACCAGAAAUGAUUUCCCAAGCACUUUCAGUCACGUUGAGGGGGUAAAAAUAUGUUUUUUUAUCACUGUUUCCUUCACUGAUUCACAGUGUGGUAAGAGCAGAGGGGGGCAAGGUUAUCUGUGAGCAGGGAAAAAAUAAACUCAGGAAACUGCUUUCUGGAAAUGUUUGUGUGCCCUGCAAGACAACAUAUUUUUUUUUAAUCUUUUUUUUUUUUUAUUAUUUUAAUCAGCUCUAAAUAAACCUCUGCAAGGUUUGUUCUAAAGAAAUCAGCCCUUUGCUCAAUCCUUUCACCACCCUGCUGAGGUUGCACGUGUUUGCCCAAGGAAUUACGACAGAGCAGCUUUGCAUCAGACCCCACCAAGAUGCUUCCUGGGGCCUGGGAGACUCUAAGCUAGGAGGGCUGUGGCAAUGCAGCCCGGGCUGAGAUACUCCAAGCCAUGUUUCCUCCUGGUCCUGGGAGCCCACACCAAGGACAGAGGCACUUUUCAAGCAAAAAUGCUGGAAAAAGCUUGCAGGAGCAAAGCUCCAUGUGUGAGCCUUGCAGCAGGUCUACGUCCAGGUGUGAGGUUUUUUGGGGGGGCACAGGGUCACUGCUAGCAUCAGGAUCUGCCCCUUUCUCUGCUUUGCCUCAUCAUGGUGUCCCCUGCAUGAAAACCAGCCUCUGCCUGCACCUCCUCAGGAUGCACACAUGAAAACAGAAGCGUGGGCCAGCAAAUACUCACCUGGUAUUUGCGAGUGUCCUACAAAGAGCCAGAGCCGGGUGUAAAACCCACCACAGCUACUGCUGGCUUAUUUUUCCAAAAUUCAGCCCUUAUUCACAGAUACUCUGAGUUUUAGCUCACAGCUUACCUCAUCCUUCUCAAUGAAGAAUUGCCUGAAGAAGACUGCCAGGGCCAGGAAAGCCCCAGGAACACGCUGCUGGCCCCUGACACAAGCC